UAAAGGAGACAGGAGUGAACUCUGCGCAUGUACAAGAGGAACGGAGGCGGGAAGCCGUAGCCGAGCCCAUUUCGAACUUUGUUUGAAACACAGUCAGUUGAAGCCGUUGAAGAACAGCGUGAAGAUGGAACCUGCUACUGAGCACAUCAACUCUUAAGUGUGUCCCUGGAAGAUCUACCAUCAACUUCCAGAACUGCAACUGCUAGUACUGUCAGAUGGUGAAUGCUACUCAGGCAAACACCAUUGUUACACCACUUUGAAGGAGAGCCUGGUCAUUUGGUCCCCUCAGCUUCUCCCUUUCUCAGUGAUAUGUUCAUUGUGGCUGGGAGAAUUGUGGGGCACUCUUUCCUUCAUGGAGGACCCUGCUUGUCUGGACUCUGUGAUGUGGUUGUCCAUACUGCUUCGUGGGAGCCCAGACACGGCUACAGUAAACCUGGAGGACUGUGCAGACCUGGACAUUAGAGAAACAAUCAGGCUUCUGGAGGUGGAAUCAAACCUAUCAGCUGAAGAAAUGGGAAGGGUACAGAACGUGGCCUCUUCCUGGGACCUCCCUCCGCUAACCACAACCAACAGGGCCCUUAAUGCUCUGCGGUGAAAAAUGGAGCAACAAGGCUGACCGUGACAUCGGGAGAGCUGAGGCAGAUCAUCUUAAACAUGAUGCACCUGGACGGUCCGGUGGCGGAGACUUCAAGAAUUAAAUAAAAUUACAAUGAAAUGGAUAA